AUGUUUCACGGGUCAGACACAGACACACCGUUAACUGAUGAAAUACUAUGAAACAAAAGCAAUAGAAGAAAUACUAAAAGCUCGUGUCUCUAUCUAUCACCUUCAAUCUUCUCUGAUUUCUCUUACGUCCUACUCAUUUCACCAUUUCCACAAUUUUGCAACCAACCAUUAUUAUUGCCUUUCAUCUUUCUCACCUCCUCAUUCUCACUCCUUCCCCCUUUCACUAUUUUCUCACUUUCUGCAUCGCCAUCUUCACAAAACCUUAUCCUACUUGCCGAGUAGUGCUGAAGGGAAACCACUACUUCCUUUUUUUGGUUGCUUCUGUCACCAUAUCCACUAUCUUGUUGAAGAGGUUUUCAUGAUUGCUAGAAGGGUUUAUUAUCUAAUCGUUUUGGUCUGCUGUUGAAGAUUAGUGUAUGAUAUUCGUCCUGAAUCGUGAACUUGUGAUCGAGAGGGUCUGAACUGUUGUUCAAUUCUGGAACAAAAUGGCUGAAAGGAAAUUGAAUAUUAAUGCCCCUCUCAUGUCUGUGAGACGUGCUUCUGCCACAUCACCGUCCUUGACGGAAGCAAGGAAAAAGAUUCUAGAGAAACGUCACAGUCUUCCAUACCACAAAUCAGACACGACCUUGGAUCAGGUAACAAAACCAGUUGCAGUUCCUUUCAAUUGGGAGCAUAUCCCUGGAAGACGCAAGGGCAAUGGUGGAUCUGAGCCUCAUCCUCCCAAGGCCACUUCAAUCACUCCAAGCCCAAGGCUUCCUCCAGGAAAUUCAAACAAUGCUACCAAACAACCGUCGGAAAGGGAAAAUAAAGCUGCGAAUAAAUUCAAGUCCUCAAAUAAGUCCAAGUCGUUCAACGUCAGUGUGGCAAAAGUAGACACUGAGAAAGAGAGAAAAACAGAGAAGACAGAGAAAAUAGUUGAGAACAGAAGGUCCAAUGUGAAGUACGAUGAGGAUGAUGACAAUGAUGCCUUUUCAGAUGCUCUUGAAACACUGUCGCAUACAGAAUCAUUCUCUAUGAACUGUAGUGUGAGUGGUGUAAGCGGGUUAGAGAGUAUGGGCGCAAACAAGUCUGGAACCUUUUCCACAGAUCAACAAACUAUAGACUUCAUGAUGAGCCGAUUCUUGCCUGCUGCAAAGGCUAUGACUCUACAGCCUUCUCAAUAUUCUUCAAAAAAGCAAUCUGUACUAGUAGAACAACAACCUAGAGAUAUUAGCAAAUUGAUUCGCGAGGAAAAGAAGCAAUUGUCUAAUAAGCACAGCACUGCUAUUAUACCAUACACUGGCCAAGAUCAAGAGGAAGAAAGUGAAGACGAAGGUGAUGGUAACGAAUAUGACAACUCUUCUAAUAUUGCAGUUAAAGGCUGUGGGUUGUUACCUCAAUUACAUAUCAGGAAUUCAUUGUGCUUAAUGAAUCCUGUGGCUGCCAUGAAAAUGAAAAACCAGGUUUCCUUGCCUCCAGCCAGUGAGGUUGUGAAACCUAACAAAACUUCUCAUAUUAGAUCUUUUAGCCCAAUUCCAGCUGUAAAGAAGGCUUGGGAUGCAAUUCACAGGAACAAAUCAAGCUCCAGGGCACCGUCACCUGACAAGCAAGAGGGUAAAAAGAAAUUGGCUAGUGAAUCAAAUAGAUUUACCUAUUCUGGUGAAUUACUUCCAGGUAGACUCUCUCCCUUCCGUCGCUCAAGAGCAGCUGCUACUGGUAUAUCUCCCUCUCGAAGACCUCAAUCUCCCUUUCGUGGCGUCAAGUUGCUUGGUGAUUCUAGGGAAGCUGAAAAUUACAAGUUUGGCAAGGUUAAAUUCCACAGCGGUGUGCUUGGAAAUGUUCAAGAUGUGCAGUCCCUAGGAAACAAAAAAACUUCCUAUUCAGGUAGUCUCACACUUGAAAAGACAUUGUACAUAGAUAUAGUCAGCACAGCGAAUUUACCAUCUUCAAAUGUAAGUUCUUUGGAUAACAAACGGAGGGUAGAUACCAUGGUUGCAGACUUAGAGAGAAGAAGGGGGAAAGAAAGUAAUUCCUCCAUAGGAUCUUCUGGAGAUAUAAAACAAGUACAAGAUGCUGUGGAAGAAAAGGUCACGUUUGAUACCGAAGUGUUAAACUCUUUAGAUUCCAUUCCACCGAGUUUGUAUAGAAUUUUGAAUCUUACACCCAAAGAAGGAAAAACUGAAGGAUUGACAACUGAUGAAAAUAUUAACCAAGAACCCGAGUCCUUGCCACUUUGGCAAGGGACAUUAGUUGAAGAUUCAAAGAUCAAUGGCCAGCAAAUUGUUUUAGUUAAUGAUUCAGGAAAGCAUAGUUCUGAUUCUGUCGUGUCUCCUCUUCCCCCACCAUUACCAAAAUCACCUUCCGAGUCCUGGCUUUGGCGUGCCCUGCCUUUAGUUUCUGUGAAGAAUUCUUUCCUGCACUCGAGUCAAGGUACUCAAUCCCAAGCUAAGAGGGAUGAUUCUAAUGCAACAUCUAGUAAUCUCAAGUGGGAAACAAUAGUGAAAACUUCAAAUUUGCAUCACGAUCAUGUACGCUAUUCUCAGGAACUUCCGACGCAUAAAUCUAAGCACUAAACUUUGACAUGAAACUCAUUAUCAUGUUAUAGUUCAAGCUCUAGGCGCCUUGAUUUUUCAGCUAUGCCUGUGCUGUUGGCUUGAAGUCCUGCACCCUGUUGAUUUUGGUGAUACUGUAUUGAUUAGAGAGAAAUCAAAGUCAUUUUUUGUGAUCAAUAAAAGUAAAGCCUCUUCUGCAUUAGUGGCGCUUUCGGUGGAAUCAAGAUUUCCUAACCUGCCCAACAGAAGUGUAUAUCGGCUACUACUGUGUGUCUGUCUUUCUUCAUGUUGGUAGUCUUUGCAACUUUUUUCCGCUGGAUCCGAGGAAAUGAUCCUCAUGGUAUCAGCAUUUAUUUUUUAUGUUAACUGGCACAAGUGAUUACUAUUAUCCAUGAUCUAGUGAUCUUUCUUAAUACUCAUAGAAAAGAAUCCUUCAAAUAUUUUAGUUUCGUAUUCCUCAGUACUUUGAGGACAAGUAUGUACAUCAGAAGAAUUCUGGAUUGAGAUAAAUUUCAGACUUUCCUUUUUGUUUGGAUUAUUUCUUAUGUAAUGCUGUUUGCCAAUCUGGCACGGCAACAGGACAAAGAUAUUUUAAUCAAUUGCAACAUUGAUGUAUUCAUGUAAAUUGUGAACUAUAUAGAUACUAUGAAAUUUGAACCGUUUAACAUA